GAUAUUAUUUGACUUGUGGCGCUUCUUCAAAUGCCUAUACUAAGGCCUAAAAAAGUGCUGAGGACUGAAUUCAAAACUCCCGUCAAAGAUUUUUAAAUAUUUACAAUUACAGAUAAGUGCCUGUAAGUCGUUUAAUUUACGUCUAGGCACUGAUUUCAGCACUGAUUGGCUGAACAGCGCCUAUAGGCCUGAUGACGCACUGUACAUUGACGAAGUUCGCGGGAAGAAAAAUAUCAAACAACAAAAAAAAAAGCUAUUUAGGAUGUAUUUUUCUAGAAUGACCAAUAAAUAUUUUAACAGAUAUUUACAUGACAAUAUAAACUUUGAAAAAGUUAAAAUCAAUGCCAUUGUACGUGCUUAUCUUGACCCUGGUAUUUUAGACUUGAUUUAGCUUAAACAUGCAUUAAUUACAACAUUUAUGCAGACUCUAGUCUAGACUAUAGGCCUAAUUUAAAUCGUGGUAUUAUAAAAUAAAAACGUUAUUAAAAAUCAAAUAUAGGCUACUGUAUAGUGUGUUGUCUAACACAACAAUUAAUGAACUUAAACUUACACCGUUUAUUCAGGAUUUCGCCUUUAUGAAGCAAGACGAAUGUUAUCAAGCGAACAAUCUCGGAUAAAAUGAAAUCAAAAUCAUUACAUUUAUGAUAAAAAUCUAAAAUAAUCACAUAAUUUUGUCUCGUCUAAUUGUGGCAGACAUUAGAGACGCCUUUAUAGUAUUUUCUGCCAAGUUCUAGAAGGCACUGAAUGCCAAGGCAACUGUGCCAAGGCUUUUGGAGGCAGAGUGGCAAAGACGAGGCAAAAACUGCAGUGUGUAAAGGACAACGGAGCGAACUACAGGGACUGAACUCUUCGAAACAAAUUAUAAUUUGGGUUUUAUUGUGCAUUUUCAGCUCGUUUUUAAAUGUGGCAGAAGUCACGGGACCAAAUCAGACAGAUUGGGUGUAGAUUAAUGAAGAGCGGUGCUUUACGCCGGUUCUAAUGAGUGCGGUGCGCUGAAGACAGAGGCCUUGAUAAGACGAGAGGCAGUUGUGAGAAUAAAGAGGAGUGAAAGGAGACAGAUGGGCCUCACGACGGUGUGAGGAGACAGGAAACACACACAUGAGGAGUCAUGAAGAGUAACUCAAUGACUGUGUAUGUGUGUAUACAGCCAUCUUCUGUAAAGCCGCAAAGGGUUUAUGAUUAAUUAGUAAUACUAAUAAAAAGUCCUUAUUUUUGCUUGCAGAUAUGGUCGACAUUAGAAGCAAAUGAUGUAAAUGUUGUUCAUUUUAUCAAUUUAAUCAGUAAACUCUGACAUCUUUCAAAAGCACUAAAUGGUUAUCAAGGUUCAUGUGACUUUGACUAAUGAAUUUCCAAAACUUAUAAGUUUUUUGUUUGUUUGUAUAUAAACUAUACUUAAAAAAGUGCAAUUUCUCACCAAUUACACAAUACUGUUUAGUAAAGUAAGAAAUAAUAAAAUAGUAAAAAAAGGGAAUAUUUUUUAAUUGAUCAAGUGACAGUGAGCACAUUUAAAAUGUUAGAAAGAUUUCUAUUUCAAAUAAACAAGAUAUUAUUUUGAACUUUAUAUUUAAAAAGCUGUACAUAACAAAAUAUAUAUUCAAUACAUAAUUUAACAUUCUCUAGCUAAAACAUUCUCUAACUAAUAUAAAUUAUUUAUUUUUUAUUUAUUUUUCCAUAAAUGUGGGAACCAUGAAUUGCCCACCAUUUUCACAGAAACAUUAAAAAGUCUGUAUUUAAUAUCAAAGUUAAUAACUGUGUGUCUUUUUAAGAUUCAUUAAUUUGCCAUAUUC
rnacentral:lncRNA from 1 species